CCUACGGGAGGCAGCAGUGGGGAAUCUUGCGCAAUGGGCGAAAGCCUGACGCAGCAACGCCGCGUGUGUGAUGAAGGUCUUCGGAUCGUAAAGCACUGUCGCGAGGGAAGCGGUACCUCGAGAGGAAGCACCGGCUAACUCUGUGCCAGCAGCCGCGGUAAUACAGAGGGUGCGAGCGUUGUUCGGAAUUAUUGGGCGUAAAGCGCUUGUAGGCGGCUUGUUAAGUCCUGUGUGAAAGCCCUAGGCUUAACCUAGGAAGUGCGCAGGAAACUGGCGAGCUUGAGUGCUGGAGAGGGUCGCGGAAUUCCCGGUGUAGAGGUGAAAUUCGUAGAUAUCGGGAGGAACACCAGUGGCGAAGGCGGCGACCUGGACAGAACUGACGCUGAGACGCGAAAGCGUGGGGAGCAAACAGGAUUAGAUACCCUUGUAGUC
rnacentral:rRNA from 1 species